AGGGGAGCCACCUCCAUGGCCUCCGCCUUCGAGCCUGCAACCAGCCCCAGCGUCUUCCCGCUGGGCCCCAGCUAUGACAAGGCAUCCAGGCAGGUGGUCCUUGCCUGCCUGGUCCACGGCUUCUUCCCACCGGCGCCCCUGAAGGUGACAUGGGGCCUCAGUGGCCAGAACGUGUCCGUCAUGGACUUCCCCACCGUGCAGCCUGCCUCCGGGGUCCUGUACACCAUGAGCAGCCAGCUGACCACGCCAGUUGAGCAGUGCCCAGACAGCAAGAUCGUGACAUGCCAAGUGCAGCACCUCUCCAGCUCCAGCCAGACAGUGGACGUGCCCUGCAGAGCUCCCCAACCCCCGUCCCCGUGCUGCAAGCCCAGCCUGGCCCUGCACCCGCCGGCUCUGGAGGACCUGCUCCUGGGCUCCAACGCCAGCCUCACGUGCACACUGAGUGGCCUCAGAAACCCCGAGGGCGCCCAAUUCACCUGGUCUCCCUCAGAUGGAAAGGUCGCUGUCCAGCAGUCACCCAAGCAUGACCCUUGUGGCUGCUUCAGCGUGUCCAGUGUCCUGCCAGGCUGUGCCGAGCAGUGGAACAGCAAAACGACCUUCUCCUGCAGCGCCACCCACCCAGAAUCCGAGAACACGCUAACUGCCACCAUCACCAAAUCCUUAGAGGACGCCAUCCGGCCCCAGGUCCACCUGCUACCGCCGCCGUCGGAGGAGCUGGCCCUCAACGAGAUGGUGACGCUGACGUGCGUUGUGCGCGGCUUCAGCCCCAAGGACGUGCUGGUUCGAUGGCUGCAUGGGAACCAGGAGCUGCCUCGCGAGAAGUACCUGACCUGGAGGCCCCUGCCCGAGCCCGAACAGAGCAUCACCACCUACGCCGUGACCAGCCUGCUGCGCGUGGAGGCCGAGGCCUGGAAGCAGGGAGACAACUACUCCUGCAUGGUGGGCCACGAGGCCCUGCCCCUGGCCUUCACCCAGAAGACCAUCGACCGCCUGUCGGGUAAACCCACCCACGUCAACGUGUCUGUUGUCAUGGCGGAGGCAGAAGGCGUCUGCUACUGAGCAGCCCCCACCUGCCUGCCCUUUGAAUAAACUCCAUGCUCGCCUGAA